rnacentral:rRNA from 1 species
AUUGAACGCUGGCGGCAUGCCUUACACAUGCAAGUCGAACGCGAAAGCGGAGCAAUCCGCAAGUAGAGUGGCGAACGGGUGAGUAAUAUAUCGGAACAUUUCCAGUAGCGGGGGAUAACCUGUCGAAAGAUAGGCUAAUACCGCAUACGACCUACGGGUGAAAGCGGAGGACCGCAAGGCUUCGCACUAUUGGAGUGGCCGAUAUCGGAUUAGCUAGUUGGUGGGGUAAAAGCCCACCAAGGCUACGAUCCGUAGCUGGUCUGAGAGGACGAUCAGCCACACUGGAACUGAGACACGGUCCAGACUCCUACGGGAGGCAGCAGUGGGGAAUUUUGGACAAUGGGCGCAAGCCUGAUCCAGCCAUGCCGCGUGAGUGAAGAAGGCCUUCGGGUUGUAAAGCUCUUUCGGUGGGGACGAAACGGUUCGUGCUAAUACCACGGACUAAUGACGGUACCCGAAGAAGAAGCACCGGCUAACUACGUGCCAGCAGCCGCGGUAAUACGUAGGGUGCAGGCGUUAAUCGGAAUUACUGGGCGUAAAGCGUGCGCAGGCGGUUUGCUAAGACAGAUGUGAAAUCCCCGGGCUUAACCUGGGAACUGCGUUUGUAACUGG